rnacentral:rRNA from 1 species
GAUGAACGCUGGCGGCGUGCCUAAUACAUGCAAGUCGAGCGAACAGACGAGGAGCUUGCUCCUCUGACGUUAGCGGCGGACGGGUGAGUAACACGUGGAUAACCUACCUAUAAGACUGGGAUAACUUCGGGAAACCGGAGCUAAUACCGGAUAAUAUAUUGAACCGCAUGGUUCAAUAGUGAAAGACGGUUUUGCUGUCACUUAUAGAUGGAUCCGCGCCGCAUUAGCUAGUUGGUAAGGUAACGGCUUACCAAGGCAACUAUGCGUAGCCGACCUGAGAGGGUGACCGCCAACAAUGGAACUGUGACACGGUCCAGACUCCUACGGGAGGCAGCAGAAGGGAAUCUUCCGCAAUGGGCGAAAGCUUGACGGAGCAAAGCCGAGCGAGUGAUGAAGGUCUUCGGAUCGGAAAACUCUGUUACUAGGGAAGAACAAAUGUGUAAGUAACUAUGCACGUCUUGACGGUACCUAAUCAGAAAGCCACGGCUAACUACGUG